rnacentral:lncRNA from 1 species
AGAUUGUGUCGUUGUCAAUGGCCAGCCUUUUACUGUGAAAUUUUUCAGUGAUUGAACUUGUGCUUAAUGGUUUGAAUUUCAUGUCAGCUCAAUGUAGUUGCACUCUUCUAGUAAUAACAACAGCAUAGGUGUUCCAUUGAUGAUUUAUUAGACAUUAUUUCUGUAAUGAUGCUGACCUUGUUAAAUGGUAGGAUAGAGAACUUUUAUUCUUUCAUCUGGCCUUUUUUUUUGAUAAGAUAAGUGGUAUUAAUAACAGCAUCAAGAAGAUGCAAAAUUUACAAGAUAUGGCAUUUGAGCUUACAAAAAAAUCUCUGGCUAACUAUACAAACUAUCUGGCCUUUGUAAGUGAAAGUUGGUGAAUGGUGGUGUCUCUGCUGAAGUCAGGAGUGGAAGCAGUUGCAGUCUCUUUAGAUAGUGGCCGAAUGUGAAUGAUGUCAGCUGAAGGAGCAGAAGAUGGAAGUAUGUAAUCUACUUACGUUAAAAAUGGAGAAAAAAAAUUAAGACCAGGGCC